rnacentral:ncRNA from 1 species
UUUAGGACUCCGCCGGCACCUUAUGAGAAAUCAAAGUCUUUGGGUUCCGGGGGAGUAUGGUCGCAAGGCUGAAACUUAAAGGAAUUGACGGAAGGGCACCACCAGGAGUGGAGCCUGCGCUUAAUUUGACUCAACACGGGGAAACUUACCAGGUCCAGACAUAGUAAGGAUUGACAGACUGAGAGCUCUUUCGAUGAAUGGAGAUGUAAAUAGAAGCAAGAAAGGUGUACAUGUGUACGCGGGGCAUACCCCGGAGAUGGUGCCCACUCGACCCUCAUCGAUUGGGUGAAGUGGGCUAUAAAAACACUAUUCUAGUCACUGCUAGGAGGAUUCUCCUCCCAAGCCUAAGACUACUAAAUAUAUUACAUAUUAACAAACCAAAAAUAAAACAUCAAAA